AGCAGCCGCGGUAAUUCCAGCUCCAAUAGCGUAUAUUAAAGUUGUUGCAGUUAAAAAGCUCGUAGUUGAAUUUCGAGACCGGUUUAUUGGUCGUGCUUUUGUACGUACUGGUAUUAUUGGUUUCUCCUUUCUGACGAAUCUUAAUGCCAUUAAUUUGGUGUUUUGGGGAAUCAGGACUGUUACUUUGAAAAAUUAGAGUAUUUAAAGCAGGCUCGCGCUUGAAUACAUUAGCAUGGAAUAAUGAAAUAGGACGUUUGGUCCUAUUUUGUUGGUUUCUAGGAUCGACGUAAUGAUUUAUAGGGAUAGUUGGGGGCAUUAGUAUUCAAUUGUCAGAGGUGAAAUUCUUGGAUUUAUUGAAGACUAACUACUGCGAAAGCAUUUGCCAAGGAUGUUUUCAUUAAUCAAGAACGAAAGUUAGGGGAUCGAAGACGAUCAGAUACCGUCGUAGUCUUAACCAUAAACUAUGCCGACUAGGGAUCGGAUGAUGUUAAUUUUUUAAUGGUCUCA
rnacentral:rRNA from 1 species